rnacentral:rRNA from 1 species
UACGGAGGGUGCGAGCGUUGUCCGGAAUCAUUGGGCGUAAAGAGCGCGCAGGCGGUCGUUCAAGUCGCGUGUGAAAGCCCCGGCUCAACUGGGGAGGUCACGCGAUACUGAUCGACUCGAAGGCAGGAGAGGGUAGUGGAAUCCCGGUGUAGUGUGAAAUGCGUAGAUAUCGGGAGGAACACCAGUGGCGAAAGGCGACUGCCUGGCCUGUUCUUGACGCUGAGGCGCGAAAGCUAGGGAGCAAACGGG